rnacentral:rRNA from 1 species
ACGAACGCUGGCGGCGUGCUUAACACCUGCAAGUCGCACGGAAAGGCCCUGCUUUUGUGGGGUGCUCGAGUGGCGAACGGGUGAGUAACACGUGAGUAACCUGCCCUUGACUUUGGGAUAACUUCAGGAAACUGGGGCUAAUACUGGAUAGGAGCUCCUGCUGCAUGGUGGGGGUUGGAAAGUUUCGGCGGUUGGGGAUGGACUCGCGGCUUAUCAGCUUGUUGGUGGGGUAGUGGCUUACCAAGGCUUUGACGGGUAGCCGGCCUGAGAGGGUGACCGGCCACAUUGGGACUGAGAUACGGCCCAGACUCCUACGGGAGGCAGCAGUGGGGAAUAUUGCACAAUGGGCGGAAGCCUGAUGCAGCAACGCCGCGUGCGGGAUGACGGCCUUCGGGUUGUAAACCGCUUUCGCCUGUGACGAAGCGUGAGUGACGGUAAUGGGUAAAGAAGCACCGGCUAACUACGUG